rnacentral:rRNA from 1 species
UACAGAGGUCUCAAGCGUUGUUCGGAUUCAUUGGGCGUAAAGGGUGCAUAGGCGGCGUGGUAAGUCGGGUGUGAAAUCUCGGAGCUUAACUCCGAAACUGCAUUCGAUACUGCCGUGCUUGAGGACUGGAGAGGAGACUGGAAUUCCCGGUGUAGCGGUGAAAUGCGCAGAUAUCGGGAGGAACACCCGUAGCGAAGGCGGCACUCUGGGCCGGUACUGACGCUGAGGAGCGAAAGCGUGGGGAGCAAACGGG